CAGUGAUAAAACAACGCUCUUAGUAUCGCGAAUCUAAGAUUUCCCCCGCUUGAGUUGGCAGGGGAGAAGGAUAAAAGAAGCGAGCGGCAGCGUUGGGCGUCUCACUGCUUCCUACCGUUGACAGGUUUGCAGACAUAUUCCUGAAUGAUGCAAAGUGUUAGUUUUCGGUUCACAAUGAAGAUCAUUCAAGUGUGCCUAGCUCUGAUAGGCGCUGCCUACGCUCAUUUACCUAUUGGAGAAGUUGAGAAACGAUGCCUGGUGGACAAACCGCACGUGUCACAAGGUGUCGCUUACGUCGCGGACGUC